UACGGAAGGGGCAAGCGUUGUUCGGAAUCAUUGGGCGUAAAGGGCGCGUAGGUGGUUCUGUGUGUCUACCGUGAAAGCGUACGGCUCAACCGUAUUUUGUCGGUAGAAGCUGCAGGACUUGAGGCUGGGAGGGGCUGGUGGAAUUCCCUGUGUAGCGGUGAAAUGCGUAGAGAUGGGGGAGAACACUCGUGGCGAAGGCGGCCAGCUAGACCAGUUCUGACACUGAGGCGCGACAGCGUGGGGAGCAAACAGG
rnacentral:rRNA from 1 species